rnacentral:rRNA from 1 species
CCUACGGGAGGCAGCAGUGGGGAAUCUUGCACAAUGGAGGAAACUCUGAUGCAGCGAUGCCGCGUGAGUGAAGAAGGCCCUUGGGUUGUAAAGCUCUUUUGUCGGGAAAGAUAAUGACUGUACCCGAAG